rnacentral:rRNA from 1 species
GAUUUCUGGCGAACCGUUGCGGCCCGUGCUCAUUUUGGGCGUGUGUGCCGUGUCGUGUUUGUCAUCCUUCCAGAAAGCUGCGUCUACCAUUCACUUGUGAAUACAUUAGCAUGGAAUAAUAAUUUAGGACUUCGGUUCUAUUUUGUUGGUUUCUAGGACUGAAGUAAUGAUUGAUAGGGACAGUUGGGGGUGCUAGUAUUCCGCGGCCAGAGGUGAAAUUCUUGGCGGAAGACUAACUACUGCGAAAGCAUU